CAUACACUUCCUGGAACACAGGACGUCCUCCUGCUGGAGCCCCUGUUACUGCCACACCCUCCAUCUACCCUGCUGACUGCAGCACCACCUACCCAACCCUCCCUGUCCUCAGUCUGGCUCAAAAGCACCUCCUGCCCAGCUCAGGAUCUGGCUGGAAGGCUGGGCACAACAGUCAGCCUGGGGUAGGAAGUGGAGGGCCUGGCCCCGCUGGGCCCCAUUCUUGGCCCAGGACAGAUAGACAGCACUACCCCUCCGGAGGGGUGAGGGGAAACCUGGCCUAGAGAUCCACCAGGGCCAGCCACUGUGACCUCUACCCAAAGAACGGCUCUCAAUGCAGCAUACGCGCCCAGUCGGGCAGAAGCGAGGCCAGUCGGAGCAGCACAGCCAAGAUGGACAGGGUGUGGUGCGUGGCCGCUCAGCAGGAGACGCUGAAGCGCACAUCAGAAGACCAAGGCUGGACCCUGAGCGCCCGUUCAUCAGGUAAUGCAGCACCAGCAGCAUCCCAAGGUUGCUCCCAAGCGUCCCAAGGGGCUCAAAGGUGGGUUCCCCUGGGAACUAACGGUCAGCAGACCGAAUGACAAGCAGGCACAGGGGGCGGAAAGAUGGAGAGAAUGGGAACAAUUCCUUAGGAGAUCCUGGGCCUUUGUACUGACCAUGACCUCUUCCCCCAACAUCUACUAGCUCCCUCCCUUCGACCAGACCGCUCUUUAAACAUCACCUCUGCAGGCAGCCCUUCCCUGACCACCCCAUCUAAGAGGGCCACGUCCUCUCCAACUGUCCCCUUUACUCUGCUGAGCAUUCUGACCACUGGAAGGGACUCGCCUAUCUGUUCUGUGACUGUCUCCCAUUUCCACUGAGCACCUAGAGCAAAGCCUGGUCACAGGAGGUGCACAGUACCCGUCUGCUGGGAACAAACACAUCCCUGAGGCCACCACAUCAGCCCCCAAGAGGCCGGCAUGAACACAGCUCCUGCCUUUUUCAACGCAGGACACAUUUCCAUGAAUCCAAGGCACUGAUGGAGAAGUCUCAACUUAGAAGGCUACAGAGCAGCAGGGCUCUUUUUCCCGGCGGCCCACUGCGGCCUCUGAGUUCACACGCUCCCCGGGGGGGCAGAGGCCACCCCAGCCUGCUCCUCUGAGCUGCACAUCUGAACUCCCACUGCCCCAGGACAGCUCUGCCUGUCUACAACCACAGCCAGCACCCCACCAGACUCAGGAGUAUCCACGAAGAGCCCAGAUUCUGAGGCCAAGAGGACCUGGGGCUGAAUCCUAGCUCUGCCACCGACUGGCUGGCUGACCUUGGGAAGUUUGUGGAAUUCUUUGAGCCUCAUUUCUUCAAACGUAAAAUGGGAAUAAAAGCUCUUACCUGA